UACGGGGGGGGCAAGCGUUGUUCGGAAUUACUGGGCGUAAAGGGCUCGUAGGUGGCCAACUAAGUCAGACGUGAAAUCCCCAGGCUUAACCUGUGAACUGCGUCUGAUACUGGAUGGCUUGAAUUCGGGAGAGGGAUGCAGAAUUCCAGGUGUAGCGGUGAAAUGCGUAGAUAUCUGGAGGAAUACCGGUGGCGAAGGCGGCAUCCUGGACCGAUAUUGACACUGAUGAGCGAAAGCCAGGGGAGCAAACGGG
rnacentral:rRNA from 1 species